GUGUGGGCGUGAUGAAGGGUGCAGAAGUCAUAACCACGUGGUACAUGCGAAGGCAGUGCACAUGUCCAAUGCUGUGCACCUUUCCAGCCGUUAUUGGUAUGGAACGUGUGCAGUGUGUUCUGAGUGCUGAGCUGUUGGGGUCGCGUCCUACCACCUGAAGUCUUUCUCUCGUGAGACUUGAUCGUUCUCCCAGGAGCUUAAAUGUGGGUAAGGGCAGUGUGGUUCCUGGCCUCCGGUGAGUAAGUCCAUGAAGUCAUCGUCAUCCUCACAGUGUGAAAUAUGAGUGCACGAGUAAGAUCAAGAUCUAGAGGAAAGGGAGAUGGAAAAAAGUCUUCUAAGCAGGAAGAACCUGUGGUUGCUAAACAACCAGGUGAAAAAACAUCACAGCAAAAGGAACUACCAACUGAGAAUCCAGAUAUUGAGACUGGGCAAGAGAAAGAAGGAGCACCUGUGGCUCAAGAACCUGAACUGGAAAAUGAAACCCAGGGAAUGGGUCUGGAAAAGACUGGAGCUGAGCAUGUAGAUUGCCCUGAGGUGAGAAAGGAAGACUCUACCUAAUCCAGCACCUGCUAAAAUUCCAGAAGCAUGUGAUGAACAGUCAUAUGUUCAAAAGAAGACAAGCUGAAGCCAUACAUAUGCUUUGUUAUGUUGAUAAUUUGGCUUAAGUUCUCUCAAUAAAGCCUUAAUAAAAUUUGCUCAGAAGAA